rnacentral:rRNA from 1 species
CCUACGGGGGGCUGCAGUGGGGAAUUUUGGACAAUGGGGGCAACCCUGAUCCAGCCAUGCCGCGUGCGGGAAGAAGGCCUUCGGGUUGUAAACCGCUUUUGUCGGGGAAGAAAUCCUCUGGGCUAAUACCCCGGGGGGAUGACGGUACCCGGAGAAUAAGCACCGGCUAACUACGUGCCAGCAGCCGCGGUAAUACGUAGGGUGCAAGCGUUAAUCGGAGUGUGUGGGCGCAGCUGUUGCGGACAGAUGUGAAAUCCCCGGGCUCAACCUGGGAACUGCAUUUGUGACUGCAUAGCUGGAGUGCGGCAGAGGGGGAUGGAAUUCCGCGUGUAGCAGUGAAAUGCGUAGAUAUGCGGAGGAACACCGAUGGCGAAGGCAAUCCCCUGGGCCUGCACUGACGCUCAUGCACGAAAGCGUGGGGAGCAAACAGGAUUAGAUACCCGGGUAGUC